GCCUACGGGGCGCAGCAGUGGGGAAUAUUGCACAAUGGGGGAAACCCUGAAGCAGCAACGCCGCGUGGAGGAUGAAGGUUUUCGGAUUGUAAACUCCUUUUGUUAGAGAAGAUAAUGACGGUAUCUAACGAAUAAGCACCGGCUAACUCCGUGCCAGCAGCCGCGGUAAUACGGAGGGUGCAAGCGUUACUCGGAAUCACUGGGCGUAAAGAGCGCGUAGGUGGGAUAGCAAGUCAGAUGUGAAAUCCACGGGCUCAACCCGUGAACUGCAUUUGAAACUGUUUCCCUUGAGUGUCGGAGAGGUA
rnacentral:rRNA from 1 species